AUGUGAAACCCAACCAGGAUUAAGAUGCAUUCUAUUUAAAAUGUGCACAUUCCUCUCUUUUUUGCUUUGUUUUGUGUUAGUAAGUUGCAGAAAACAGUUUUUCCUCAAAAGCAUAUUGGCCUUCAAAGAGAUACGUGGUCUCACACGAUCUGAGGCUUCAGGUAAGUUAUCUACCCCACUUGCUCAAGUUCUGGCCUAGUGCAAGCUUUAUCUAUCUCAUGUUAGAAUGGAGGGGAGAAAUGAUAGAAUCCACAGUAGGCAGGAAGAGAUAUGUCCCAAAACAUCACUUUAAUUACAUACAUAUAUAAACUUUAACAUAAACACUUCACAUAAAACUCUCUCUCCUUUGCACUCUUAAUCAUACUCUCUCUCCUGUGGUUAGAAGAUAUCCAAAUCAGCUCUCCCUAGUUCUGGAAUUUCUUGGAGCUGCCAGACAUCUGCCACAAGGAUUGGAUUCUUGUAUUCAUUAAAUCCUAUGUCAACUCCUCUCCAUGAGUAGUAACUGACUCCAUAACCCUCUCCAUGAAUAAC
rnacentral:lncRNA from 1 species